rnacentral:rRNA from 1 species
UACGGAGGGUGCAAGCGUUAUCCGGAUUUACUGGGUUUAAAGGGUGUGUAGGCGGGCUUUUAAGUCAGUGGUGAAAUCUCCGGGCUCAACCUGGAAACUGCCAUUGAUACUAUUAGUCUUGAAUAUUUGUUGAGGUAGGCGGAAUAAGUCAUGUAGCGGUGAAAUGCAUAGAUAUGACUUAGAACACCGAUUGCGAAGGCAGCUUACUAAGCAAUGAUUGACGCUGAGGCACGAAAGCGUGGGGAUCAAACAGG